rnacentral:rRNA from 1 species
CGGGUGAGGAAUGCAUCGGAAUCUACUCUGUCGUGGGGGAUAACGUAGGAAACUUACGCUAAUACCGCAUACGACCUACGGGUGAAAGCAGGGAUCUUCGGACCUUGCGCGAUUGAAUGAGCCGAUGCCCGAUUAGCUAGUUGGCGGGGUAAGAGCCCACCAAGCGACGAUCGGUACUGGUCUGAGAGGAUGAUCAGCACACUGGAACUGAGACACGGUCCAGACUCCUACGGGAGCAGCAGUGGGGAAUAUUGGACAAUGGGCGCAAGCCUGAUCCAGCCAUACCGCGUGGGUGAAGAAGGCCUUCGGGUUGUAAAGCCCUUUUGUUGGGAAAGAAAAGCAUUCGGUUAAUACCCGAUUGUUCUGACGGUACCCAAAGAAUAAGCACCGGCUAACUUCGUGCCAGCAGCCGCGGUAAUACGAAGGGUGCAAGCGUUACUCGGAAUUACUGGGCGUAAAGCGUGCGUAGGUGGUUGUUUAAGUCUGUCGUGAAAGCCUGGGCUCAACCUGGGAAUUGCGAUGGAAACUGGGCGACUAGAGUGUGGCAGAGGGUAGUGGAUUCCUGGUGUAGCAGUGAAAUGCGUAGAGAUCAGGAGGAACAUCCGUGGCGAAGGCGACUGCCUGGGCCAACACUGACACUGAGGCACGAAA